GCGAGGUGACGAUAAAAAUUCAUGUCUGUCAAUCCACUGAAUUAAAAGCGUGUUGUUAUUAUGAAUCCCGACAGGUUCUGAUCGC
rfam:Citrus clementina cultivar Clemenules unplaced genomic scaffold scaffold_4, whole genome shotgun sequence.